UACGUAGGGUGCAAGCGUUGUCCGGAAUUAUUGGGCGUAAAGAGCUUGUAGGCGGUUUGUCGCGUCUGCUGUGAAAUUUCGGGGCUCAACCCCGAACUUGCAGUGGGUACGGGCAGACUAGAGUGUGGUAGGGGAGACUGGAAUUCCUGGUGUAGCGGUGAAAUGCGCAGAUAUCAGGAGGAACACCGAUGGCGAAGGCAGGUCUCUGGGCCAUAACUGACGCUGAGAAGCGAAAGCAUGGGGAGCGA
rnacentral:rRNA from 1 species